rnacentral:rRNA from 1 species
GAUGAACGCUGGCGGCGUGCCUAAUACAUGCAAGUCGAGCGAAUGGAUUAAGAGCUUGCUCUUAUGAAGUUAGCGGCGGACGGGUGAGUAACACGUGGGUAACCUGCCCAUAAGACUGGGAUAACUCCGGGAAACCGGGGCUAAUACCGGAUAACAUUUUGAACCGCAUGGUUCGAAAUUGAAAGGCGGCUUCGGCUGUCACUUAUGGAUGGACCCGCGUCGCAUUAGCUAGUUGGUGAGGCAACGGCUCACCAAGGCAACGAUGCGUAGCCGACCUGAGAGGGUGAUCGGCCAAACUGGGACUGAGACACGGCCCAGACUCCUACGGGAGGCAGCAGGAGGGAAUCUUCCGCAAUGGACGAAAGUCUGACGGAGCAACGCCGCGUGAGUGAUGAAGGCUUUCGGGUCGUAAAACUCUGUUGUUAGGGAAGAACAAGUGCUAGUUGAAUAAGCUGACACCUUGACGGUACCUAACCAGAAAGCCACGGCUAACUACGUGCCAGCAGCCGCCGUAA